AAGGCGUCCCAUCAAAGCAGAAGAAGAUUUCAAAAUUAAUCGCUAGCGACACCGAGAGACUGAAAAAGCUGCAGCGGAAGAUGGAGAAAGAAAAGGAAAAGGAGAGAGAAAACACGAUGAUGCUUGAGAAGGUUACUACCAAGUUGACAAACCUAAGAGAUACCUUGGAGAGUCUUGAAAAGAGAAGCAAAAAACUACAUUCAUGGCUGGACACAGAGCUUUUGACUGUUUGAACGUAUUCAUAAAACAUCUUAAAGCUAGAAGGAGCACCUAAAUGGCUGAUUUAAGAGAAACACUCAAAAAUACUGAACCCUUAGUGAAAAGAUCAAAUGUUUUGUGAAUACGGUACCUAAGUAUUUGUUAGGUAAGGUGAGUAUGUAUUAGGUAAUUUCAGUUUCAGAGAUUGACUGUGAGUGCGUGUUGUGAUGAAUUCUGUGGAUGAGCUAGUUUAGCUGUUUUAUCUGGUUACUAGUAGUUACUUGGUUACCUGUCCUGUAGUUUAGUCAUUUACUAGGUUUGCUAAGGUGUUUUAUUUUGUUGCUAGGCGUUGUAGUAGUUAAGUUGUGUAGUAGGUGUUGCUAAGGUAGAAAUGGGCUCAGCCCUAACGGUGACAAAAAAAGAUUCUUUCUCAAGAAAAACCAGUAAAAUAUAGUCCUUUAUUGGGCCUACGUACUUCUUCACCCAGUUACAAAGGCACGUUUAAUAACCACACAAUCCAUGAAUUAGGCUAUUUGACGUUACAUUUAUGAAUGCU